rnacentral:rRNA from 1 species
GUCUGUGACCCACCCGAUCCCAUCUCGAACUCGGCCGUGAAACCGGACAGCGCCGAUGGUACUAGUGCUCAAGCACUGGAAGAGUAGGUCGUCGCCAGGC